rnacentral:rRNA from 1 species
UACGGAGGGGGCUAGCGUUGUUCGGAAUUACUGGGCGUAAAGCGCACGUAGGCGGCUUUGCAAGUUAGAGGUGAAAGCCCGGGGCUCAACCCCGGAAUUGCCUUUAAAACUGCAUCGCUAGAAUUGUGGAGAGGUAAGUGGAAUUCCGAGUGCAGAGGUGAAAUUCGUAGAUAUUCGGAAGAACACCAGUGGCGAAGGCGACUUACUGGACACAUAUUGACGCUGAGGUGCGAAAGCGUGGGGAGCAAACAGG